rnacentral:rRNA from 1 species
AUUGCAGUCUGCAACUCGAGUGCAUGAAGCUGGAAUCGCUAGUAAUCGCGGAUCAGAAUGCCGCGGUGAAUACGUUCCCGGGUCUUGUACACACCGCCCGUCACACCAUGAGAGUUGGCAAUACCCAACGUACGUGAUCUAACCCGCAAGGGAGGAAGCGUCCUAAGGUAGGGUCAGCGAUUGGGGUGAAGUCGUAACAAGGUACC